rnacentral:rRNA from 1 species
UACGUAAGGACCGAGCGUUGUCCGGAAUCAUUGGGCGUAAAGGGUACGUAGGCGGCUAGAAAAGUUAGAAGUCAAAGGCUAUAGCUCAACUAUAGUAAGCUUCUAAAACUAUUUAGCUUGAGAGAUGGAAGGGAAAGUGGAAUUCCUAGUGUAGCGGUGGAAUGCGCAGAUAUUAGGAGGAAUACCGGUGGCGAAGGCGACUUUCUGGCCAUUUUCUGACGCUGAGGUACGAAAGCGUGGGUAGCAAACAGGAUUAGAU